rnacentral:tRNA from 1 species
GGGCUCUUAGCUCAGUUGGUAGAGCGCCCGCUUUGCAAGCGGGAGGCCAGGGGUUCGACUCCCCUAGAGUCCA